rnacentral:piRNA from 1 species
UGGAUGGGAUGAGAAAUGCAAGCAGUAGUC